AGUUGAGAGUUUUCACUUGUUUUCUAUUUUCUUCCUCCUUUGGUGGGUCCUUCAGGUGGCAAUUCUUUACUCAGCCUGACAAGUGAAAAUCUAACCCCUUUUCCAGGAAAAAAAAUGCAUAUCUGGUAAUUAAUAAACCUGAUAAUAAAUACCAACUCAGUCAACAAUCCAUCGAUCCAAUUGGUUGAAUCUUUCACUCAUCUGACUCCUUCAAUGGGUUACCGUGUUUUUUGUCAUUUUAAUUUAUUAUAAUGAUGGCAUCAUAUGGGUUGACACUUGACACAUUGACUGGAUGGUUGAACCGGUAAUCCAUUGAUCCGGAGGCAAAGUGAUUUAACUUCCGAGCUAGGUUUUAAAACAGUACUGUUCAUAAUUAUCAUAUUACCCAUUGCUGAAAGCAUGGACUGGAUGCAAUUGAAUCAUGUUUGUGUAUGGGAUUUAACUGUCUGUGUCAUUACAAGUAGAGAAGUAACAGAAUACAUGUUCAUUUAAUCCUGAUAUCCUUCUCUCCAUUUCAUUUGAGUAAUACAUUCUAAUUACUUGAGGACUUAAAAAAACAUGAAGAUCCGAAGAGGUUUAGGCUCACUCAUCAAACAUCAUUUGGCAAACGACAUCUCAAGUAUUGGAGUGAGCACCGUUUGCUUCAUUGGCCUGCCUGUUUUAUUCGACAAUUCUAUGCGUCUGUUUCUAAAAUCAAUUAUUUCACUCUUCGCCACGGAUUCAUUAUGCUUUACAGGUGAUGGCUCAAAUAAAGGAUUCAGGAUGUUCCUAUCACCAUAAUGGAUCCAGGAUGCACCAGGAAAACCUCCCCUGACUAUUUUGAUGUUCUCUAGAAGUUUAUGAAGCAUUGGUCACUUGAAAAAUAGCAAUGCAAAUCAGAUUACUAGAACUUGAUUAGAAGAGCAAAUCAGAUUACCAGAACUGAUUGUAUUGAAUUCUUGUUUCAGGUUUCAGUCUCAUAAUUAAUGAAAUGCUAUUUUUAGUAAAAAAAAUUCAAUAUGCCGUCAUGAAAUUGAUUUAAUAAUUUUACGCUUUAGGUUGAAGAAGGUGCCGAUUGCUAUUAUUAUUUAAAAAAAAAAGUAAAAUUUAAGCUGGAGGUCAUAGAAACCACCGCCUUUGGCAAAUCAAUAUACCUAAGUUGGUGGUUUAUAC